rnacentral:rRNA from 1 species
GACGAACGCUGGCGGCGUGCCUAAUACAUGCAAGUUGAGCGCUGAAGGCUGGUACUUGUACCAACUGGAUGAGCAGCGAACGGGUGAGUAACGCGUGGGGAAUCUGCCUUUGAGCGGGGGACAACAUUUGGAAACGAAUGCUAAUACCGCAUAAAAACUUUAAACACAAGUUUUAAGUUUGAAAGAUGCAAUUGCAUCACUCAAAGAUGAUCCCGCGUUGUAUUAGCUAGUUGGUGAGGUAAAGGCUCACCAAGGCGAGGAUACAUAGCCGACCUGAGAGGGUGAUCGGCCACAUUGGGACGGAGACACGGCCCAAACGGCUACGGGAGGGAGCAGGAGGGCAUCGUCGGCAAUGGGCGGAAGUCUGAGCGAGCAACGCCGCGUGAGGGAAGAAGGUUGUCGGAUCGUAAAACUCUGUUGGUAGAGAAGAACGUUGGUGAGAGUGGAAAGCUCAUCAAGUGACGGUAACUACUCAGAAAGGAACGGCUAACUACGUG